rnacentral:rRNA from 1 species
GUGCCAGCAGCCGCGGUAAUACCGGCAGCUCAAGUGAUGUCCCAUAUUAUUGGGCCUAAAGCGUCCGUAGCUGGCCGCGCAAGUCCGUCGGGAAAUCCAGCUGCCCAACAGGUGGGCGUCCGGCGGAAACUGUGUGGCUUGGAACCGGAAGGCUCAGAGAGUACGUCCGGGGUAGGAGUGAAAUCCCGUAAUCCCGGACGGACUACCGAUGGCGAAAGCACUUCGAGAAAACGGAUCCGACAGUGAGGGACGAAAGCCAGGGUCUCGAACCGGAUUAGAAACCCGAGUAGUCC